AUUGAACGCUGGCGGCAGGCCUAACACAUGCAAGUCGAGCGGAGCGGCGGACGCGGGCGUAAUGGCUAGGAAUCUGCCUGGUCGUGGGGGAUAAGGUCCGCUACCGGGAGCUAAUACCGCAUACUAUCAGAUGAGCCUAGGUCGGAUUAGCUAUUGGGAGGGGUAAGGGCAGACCAAGGCGACGAUCCGUAACUGGUCUGAGAGGAUGAUCAGGCACACUGGAACUGAGACACGGUCCAGACUCCUACGGGAGGCAGCAGUGGGGAAUAUUGGACAAUGGGCGAAAGCCUGAUCCAGCCAUGCCGAAUGUGUGAAGAAGGUCUUCGGAUUGUAAAGCACUUUUAGUUGGGAGGCGUUACCUACAGAAUAAGCACCGGCUAACUUCGUGCCAGCAGCCGCGGUAAUAC
rnacentral:rRNA from 1 species